rnacentral:rRNA from 1 species
GAUGAACGCUGGCGGCGUGCCUAAUACAUGCAAGUCGAGCGAACGGACUAGAAGCUUGCUUCUCUGAUGUUAGCUGCGGACGGGUGAGUAACACGUGGAUAACCUCCCUAUAAGACUGUGAUAACUUCGUGAAACCGGAGCUAAUACCGGAUGAUAUUUUGAACCUCAUGGUUCAAAAGUGAAAGACGGUCUUGCUGUCACUUCUAGAUGGAUCCGCGCUGCAUUAGCUAGUUGGUAAGGUAACGGCUUACCAAGGCAACGAUGCAUAGCCGACCUGAGAGGGUGAUCGGCCACACUGGAACUGAGACACGGUCCAGACUCCUAAGGGAGGCAGCAGUAGGGAAUCUUACGCAAUGGGCGAAAGCCUGACGGAGCAAAGCCGCGUGAGUGAUGAAGGUCUUCGGAUCGUAAAACUCUGUUAGUAGGGAAGAACAUAUGUGUAAGUAACUGUGAACAUCUUGACGGUACCUAAUCAGAAAGCCACGGCUAACUACGUG